rnacentral:piRNA from 1 species
UACAAGUACUGUUUGCAGUCGGUGUCUCUG